UAACAAGGUUUCCGUAGGUGAACUGCGGAAGAUCAUUA
rnacentral:rRNA from 1 species